rnacentral:pre_miRNA from 1 species
AAAGUACUCCCUUCGUCCCAAAAUUCUUGUCUUAGAUUUGUCUAGAUACGGAUGUAUCAAGUCACAUUUUAGUAUUAGAUACAUCCGUAUCUAGACAAAUCUAAGACAAGAAAUUUGGGACAGAGGGACUAGUUG